rnacentral:miRNA from 1 species
AAGUGUUGUCCGUGAAUGAUU